UACGCAGGGGGCUAGCGUUUUCCGGAAUCGUUGGGCGUAAAGAGCGUGUAGGCGUUCUGGUAAGUCCGUUGUGAAAGUCCAGGGCUCAACCCUGGAAUGCCGAUGGAUACUGUCAGGCUCGAGUCCGGAAGAGGCGAGUGGAAUUCCUGGUGUAGCGGUGAAAUGCGCAGAUAUCAGGAGGAACACCAAUGGCGAAGGCAGCUCGCUGGGACGGUACUGACGCUGAGACGCGAAAGCGUGGGGAGCAAACAGG
rnacentral:rRNA from 1 species